CAGUGAACAUAGUUUAUAAAAAUGUUAGCC
rnacentral:tRNA from 1 species